CCCCCAACGAGCCCCAAUUCGAUAUCCAAUCUACACAAGCAGGAAGAAAUAACAACAGCGCGGAAUAAAAGACUGCAAUUUUCGACCUACUUAUUGCGAUCUAUUAUUAUAUACAGGCCCUUUGCACUCCCGGUACCUAUCGAUAACCAAAAACGACCAUGAUUAAUCCUUCCGACUUGCGAUUUUUCCAAUUUACCAAACCAUCCAGCGCCCGAUAAACCAACUCCCACAAAUUCAUCGCGGAUUAAAAGGAUUUCAAAAAUAAGACUUUUCAAAGUACAGAAUGGCUGGUGCAGCAGAGUGGCGGCUAGACCUUUGGAGCCCCAGCAGAUGAUAUCAGUUGAUCUGAUCUCGCUUUUUUUUAUUCCUCCAGACUUCCAAUUCUUGUGCUUAGUAGGCGUAUCCGCUUCCUAAUAUGCUUUGCCUUAUACGUGGGCGAAGCCAGAUAUUUUUUGUGAUUAUAGGACCAGGUCCCCUUCUUUUAAAUUGAGACAAUAGUUUUCCCCCUCGAAUUCUGCAUUUUCCCAGAUGCAGGACAUUCAAUACCUAUAUUGACACGGCAUAACAAACCAUAGAUCUAGCGCCUAUAGAUGUCUAUAGACAUCUAGUCUCUAAUUCCUUUCUUCAUUGAUA
rnacentral:sRNA from 2 species